rnacentral:tRNA from 1 species
GCGCCGUUAGCUCAGUUGGUAGAGCAGUGAAAAUCCCGUCUUGUAAACACACAGGCCGCAGGUUCGAUCCCUGCACGGCGCACCA